rnacentral:lncRNA from 1 species
GUACUAACGUCAACCAAAUUACUCAUUUCUUAUUGCCAAAAUGUCUUAUUUUAAUGUGUGUAUAAUUAACAUGUAAUUUUUUUUUAUCUCUGAAUGGAGGUUGUGGAAUGAGUCAGAAGCUUUAAAGAAUCCAAUAAUAUUUUCCAAAAAUAUAACAACAUUUUAGAUCAUAUCAAUAUCUAUGUUAUUCCUCAGUUUAUGAAUUCACACAUGUAAUUAAAAUAUUUUUAGAAUAUAAAGAUUAGUUAAUAGAGCUAAUUUAGAGACUCUGGGGUUAUUAUUGUUUUUUGUUAAAUACUACUCUAUCCUUAGCUACUCAGAGAGAACACUACUUGUUAAAUAUAUGCUAAUUUCCUUAAUAUAACUUGUUAUUUGGGGUUAUGUGUUAGA